rnacentral:rRNA from 1 species
AGUGAACGCUGGCGGUAGGCCUAACACAUGCAAGUCGAACGGCAGCACAGAGGAGCUUGCUCCUUGGGUGGCGAGUGGCGGACGGGUGAGGAGUACAUCGGAAUCUACUCUGUCGUGGGGGAUAACGUAGGGAAACUUACGCUAAUACCGCAUACGACCUACGGGUGAAAGCAGGGGAUCUUCGGACCUUGCGCGAUUGAAUGAGCCGAUGUCGGAUUAGCUAGUUGGCGGGGCAAAGGCCCACCAAGGCGACGAUCCGUAGCUGGUCUGAGAGGAUGAUCAGCCACACUGGAACUGAGACACGGUCCAGACUCCUACGGGAGGCAGCAGUGGGGAAUAUUGGACAAUGGGCGCGAGCCUGAUCCAGCCAUACCGCGUGGGUGAAGAAGGCCUUCGGGUUGUAAAGCCCUUUUGUUGGGAAAGAAAUCCAUCUGGUUAAUACCCGGGUGGGAUGACGGUACCCAAAGAAUAAGCACCGGCUAACUUCGUGCCAGCAGCCGCAGUAA